rnacentral:rRNA from 1 species
CAAUAGCGUAUAUUAAAGUUGUUGCGGUUAAAAGCUCGUAGUUGGAUUUCUGUUGAAAACAUGCGGUCCACCUUUUGGGUGAGUAUCUGCAUUGGUUUCGGCAUCUUCUCGAAAAACGUCUCUGCGCUUGAUUGCGUGGAACGGAGUUCGGGACUUUUACUUUGAGGAAAUUAGAGUGUUCAACGGCAGGCAUACGCCUUGAAUAUAUUAGCAUGGAAUAAUAAUAUAGGAUCUUGGUUCUAUUUUGUUGGUUUCUUAGUAGCUAAGAUAAUGAUUAAUAGGGACAAUUGGGGGCAUUCGUAUUAACGCGUCAGAGGUGAAAUUCUUGGAUUGCGUUACGACGAACUACUUGCGAAAGCAUUUGCCAAGGAUGUUUUUCAUUGAUCAAGAACGAAAGUAAGGGGAUCGAAGACGAUCAGAU